GUGUCUGCUUCGGGAAAACCCAGUCUGCAACAGAGGGUGGAAGGGACAGGACAAAGGGAAUAGGGUCACUGGCCCAGCAGCUGCAGCUGAGCUGGGCACCUUUGAUGCCCACCCCAUCAGGAGGAGUCUCAUUUCCACCAACACUGUCUCCCGACCCCGGGGCUGCACACGUUCCACUCUCCACUCUUUCCGGUCGGCGUCAAUUAGAAACCCCAGCCUCAGCCUACAAGCCACUCCAGAGUCCUCUGCUGGUGGUGUUCUCAUUUGCAGUCUCCUAGGCUGGAGAGAGAGAGGCUAACGGCCCCCUCUCAGCAUGGUGGCUUAUUUUGUCAAGGCCAGCAGGAGAAUCUCUGCAGCUUCAAGUCCCUUGGCUCAAGGAAGACUUUCUUUUAAAGGGCUUACCCAAGGAAAUGGCCCUUUUGAUUCACUAAAUUUCAACUAAUUUAAUCACUUUUACUUUGAUCACAUUUAUGAAAUUCCUUCACCUUUGCCAAUAAUGUAACUUAAUCAAAAUAAUGCUGAUUAGGACUGGUGCUGAAGCUGAAGCUCCAAUCCUUUGGCCACCUGAUGGGAAGAACCAACUCAUUGGAAAAGACCCUGAUGCUGGGAAAGAUUGAGGACAGGAGGAGAAGGGGAUGACAGAGGACGAGAUGGUUGGAUGGCAUCACCGACUCAAUGGACAUGAAUUUUAGCAAACACCCCAAGAUGGUGUAGGACAAGGAAGCCUGGUCUGCAGUCCAUGGGGUCACAAAAGAGUUGGAUGGAACGCCUGAACAGCAAUCACAAUAAUGACAUCUAUCAUACCCCUUGGUCUCACCCACACUGGGAGGAGGAGUUUGUGUUAGGCACACACACAGGGGAGAGGGGAAUCUUGGGAGCCAUCUUAGAAUUCCAUUUAUCAGGACUGUAGAGUCUCAAGCCUAUAUCUCCAUCCCAACACUGUUAGAGUCAGUAUGUCUACCUGCCUUUUUGUCGUCUCCCCUGGGAUAUCUAAUUGGCAUCUGAAACUUGGUAUAUGUAAAAAUGAAGUCUAAUUUCCACAAGCUGGCCAAGCCUGAUGCUCCACCCACAUCUUCACAUCUUAUAUUGCUAAUAGGCCAGCAACCUACAGUCCAUGGGGUUGCACAGAGUCAGACACGACUGAGCAACUAAGCACAACAACCUCUCGGUCAUCCUUGACUCUUCUUCACAGCUUCCUUAUCCUUAUAGACCAUUGGUUUUACCUUUACAGUGUGUCCUAUGUCCUAUUACCUCUCACCUUGUCCAUGGCCACUCUCCUGGUCCUAGCCCCCACCAUUUCUUGCCUGGUAUUCUGUACCAGCCAUUUCACUGAACUUGCUUUGUCUUAAUUACAAAGGCUUGUUAUCCACAAAGCCAUCAGAGAAAUCUGUUUCAAUAUAGAUCGGACUAUAUACUGUCUCUGCUCAAAACUCUCCAGUGGAUCCCAUCUCAUUCAGACGAAAAGCGAAAGAAAAUCCUCAUCAUGGCCUGUGAAACCCCGUGGGAUCUGGCCUGUGGCCUACCCUGGGACUCAUCUCCUGCCACUUUUCCCUUUUCCCACCACGCUCCACACUGGCUUCCUUGCUGUUCCUCAAAACUGCCAAGCACACACCCACCAGAGGCCCUUUGCACAUACUGUUCACGCUGCUUGCAAUGCUCUUCUCCCAGAUAUCCACGUGGCUUACUCUCCCACUUCCUUCGAUCUCAGCUCCAACGUCACUAACUCGGAGUGGUCUUCCCUGACAGUUCAUAUAAAGU
ensembl:lncRNA